rnacentral:rRNA from 1 species
UACGGAGGGUGCGAGCAUUAAUCGGAUUUAUUGGGCGUAAAGGGCGCGUAGGCGGGAAUGUAAGUCAGAUGUGAAAUCCCGGGGCUCAACCCCGGAACAGCAUUUGAAACUGCAUACCUAGAGGGUAGUCGGAGAAAACAGAAUUCCACAAGUAGCGGUGAAAUGCGUAGAUAUCAUUUGGAACGCCAAUGGUGAAAACAGGUAGCUGGGAGUGUGCUGACGCUGAGACACGAAAGCCAGGGGAGCGAACGGG